AACCUAGUGACGAAACAAACUGCAGGAAAAAUAUCUCCCUCGAACAGAGCAACGCGGAUGCUGCUCUUAAUUAUUGCACAAUCUCCCCUCACUCGGCUGACGUCGUUCCAAUUGACGCGGCUGUCAGCUUCAAUUAGACGCCUAAUGUCUUGCAUCAGGGGGAGGCUGGGGCCACAAGUGCAACGGCAAAAGAAGAGGAGGGGGUCAUCAACGGCAAAGGUCGCCACGUCUCAGGUUGACAGGCAGCGCGCCGGCUAAGGAGCUUUUCGAAGAAAAUAGUGGAAAGUCAACGGAUCCAAACUGCGGCCACUAAUCUUAAUGACAAUCGGAGAAGAGGAGCUGAAGUGCUCAACGUUUAACCCGUCUGGACCCGGAUGCCAUGACAACAGUGAAAGGAUGGCGGACGACAGUGAUUGGAUAUUACAUCACAGGGUAAGGCCUUUUUUCCGUAUGGCUAGCAUACAUAACCAAUGCUAAGUGAAUUGUAAAACUGAAAAA